UAGUCCACGCCGUAAACGAUGGAUACUAGGUGUCCGGGAAGUUAACCUCCUGGGUACUACAGCUAACGCGUUAAGUAUCCCGCCUGGGGAGUACGGUCGCAAGGCUAAAACUCAAAGGAAUUGACGGGGGCCCGCACAAGCGGUGGAGUAUGUGGUUUAAUUCGAAGCAACGCGCAGAACCUUACCUACCCUUAACAUUUCACGCUCGCCUCAGAGAUGAGGUUUUCUCUUCGGAGACGUGAGGAUAGGUGCUGCAUGGCUGUCGUCAGCUCGUGUCGUAAGAUGUCUGGUUAAGUCCAAUAACGAGCGCAACCCUUAUCCUUAGUUACCAGCAUUGAGUUGGGCACUCUAUGGAAACUGCCCGUGAUAAGCGGGAGGAAGGUGUGGAUGACGUCAAGUCCUCAUGGCCCUUACGGGUUGGGCUACACACGUUGCUACAAUGGUGGUGACAGUGGGUUAAUCUCCAAAAACCAUCUCAGUUCGGAUUGGGGUCUGCAACUCGACCCCAUGAAGUCGGAAUCGCUAGU
rnacentral:rRNA from 1 species